GGCGACAUGGUCGAGCGGUAAGGCGGGGGAUUGCAAAUCCCCUAUUCCCUAGUUCAAAUCCAAGUGUCACCU
rfam:Gossypium raimondii Chr05_contig_1011, whole genome shotgun sequence.